AGUGAACGCUGGCGGUAGGCCUAACACAUGCAAGUCGAACGGCAGCACAGUAAGAGCUUGCUCUUACGGGUGGCGAGUGGCGGACGGGUGAGGAAUACGUCGGAAUCUACUUUUUCGUGGGGGAUAACGUAGGGAAACUUACGCUAAUACCGCAUACGACCUACGGGUGAAAGCAGGGGAUCUUCGGACCUUGCGCGAUUGAAUGAGCCGAUGUCGGAUUAGCUAGUUGGCGGGGUAAAGGCCCACCAAGGCGACGAUCCGUAGCUGGUCUGAGAGGAUGAUCAGCCACACUGGAACUGAGACACGGUCCAGACUCCUACGGGAGGCAGCAGUGGGGAAUAUUGGACAAUGGGCGCAAGCCUGAUCCAGCCAUACCGCGUGGGUGAAGAAGGCCUUCGGGUUGUAAAGCCCUUUUGUUGGGAAAGAAAAGCAGCAGGUUAAUACCCCGCUGUUCUGACGGUACCCAAAGAAUAAACACCGGCUAACUUCGU
rnacentral:rRNA from 1 species